rnacentral:lncRNA from 1 species
UAAUAAGCGAAUUUUGCACAAGACCAAAGGAAAACGUUUCACCUACAAGUUUAACUUCAGUAAACUAAUCUUAGUGAAUUACCCAAGUCUUCCAACCUGCCCACAGAAUACAACAUCUGUCCCUUUCACUGCCUUUCCUUCUCAGCUUUCCUUCUACCAGCCUUCUAUUGACAGGGCUGUUCAGUCAAUUUCUCAUCCCCUUUUCCUGCCGUACAGCUUCCCCAAACCUCUCCCCUUUCCCCAGACACAUCCAAUCCAAAGGCAGUUUCCCUUCUUUUCUGGCCCACCUCCCUCAGGGACUAACCUAUCAGAGCUCUCCCGCCUGUCACCUUUCAACUCUGCCCUUCAGUUCACACAGACUUUAAACUGGCCAGUCAAAAGCAGCACAGAGUGGCCUCUCAACAGAGUCAUGGGAUUACAAGAGAGGAUUAAAAGUGGACCACAAGACAAAAAUCAUGACAACCAAGACAACAUAAAAAUAUUUCCUGAGACCAUGCAGUAAACGUUUUAGUACUAUUAUUGGUUUUAAUAUAAUUAUCUUUUUUUGUUGUUGUUUGUAAGUUUAUAAAUCCUUAUUGGCAGGUUGAGAGCAAAGCACUUUAUAUAUUUGACCCUAUCAACUUAAAGAGACAAGAGAACAUGCG